GUAAACUCUGUGAAUUAAUACAGCUUCUUCAUCCACGGGAUGGUCGACAAAAGGACAUGCCAUGUUCGAGAAAAGCAAAACGUUUUAUAGUGUGCCUAACACAGUUAAUAAACCAACCCUGUUUUUUACUUAUGCAGAUAAACUGCUCUAAAAUGCGUCUGACACAGACUCAAUGAAUGAGCAAAUGAAAGAACGCCGUGUCAGAGGGAGGAGACUGAGAAGAAAACCUGUUCCCGACCAGGUUAGGUUCCGACUCAGUUACCAUAGUAACUGACUCUAAGGUUAAGAUACCUGUCUUUCUGAAACAGGCUGGAGUUACCCUUCUCCAUCAGGCUUGAUUAACUAAAACCCAGUUUUCCGUCAUUUCAGGGUUAACAAACUCAGAGUUCUCACUAAACCUCCUUUCUGAAACGGACCCUU